rnacentral:rRNA from 1 species
GAUGAACGCUGGCGGCAUGCCUAACACAUGCAAGUCGAUCGGUAAGGCUCUUCGGAGUACACGAGAGGCGGACGGCUGAGUAACGCGUAGGAACACACCCUGCAGUGAGGGAUAAGACACCGAAAGGUGUUCUAAUACCGCAUACGGUCUUCGGAUUAAAGCAUUUAUGCGCUGAAGGAGUGGCCUGCGUCAUAUUAGAUAGUUGGUGAGGUAAUGGCCCACCAAGUCGAUGAUGUGUAGCUGGUCUGAGAGGAUGAUCAGCCAGACUGGAACUGAGACACGGUCCAGACUCCUACGGGAGGCAGCAGUGAGGAAUAUUUCACAAUGAGCGAAAGCUUGAUGGAGCAAUGCCGCGUGCAGGAUGAAGGCCCUCGGGUUGUAAACUGCUUUUAUAAGAGAAGAUUAUGACGGUAACUUAUGAAUAAGGGACGGCUAACUACGUG